rnacentral:lncRNA from 1 species
GUCAAACUUUUCCUCUUGCGCGUGUUCAAUCAUGCUUCGUGUUGGCUGCAGUUCGGUAUCGGAAUUUUCCGCAUCAAAUCGCGUGUGUCCGUGUUUUUGUCACAUCCGGCGCUGUCUCAAGAAGGUGAACGAGUUCUGGGUGUUGGAUGGACAAAUCCUAACCGAAUCGGAUCGAAUGUUGAACAAGGAUAACCAGGCUCAGCGCCUGUUGCCGUCGAGGGUUCGUUCCGGAUGGUGAUCACCAACACGAAACGCAGCUCGUUUUCUUCAAGGACCAUUGAAAAGCGUGGACGUGCUGGGAUCGAGUGGCGGGGAGGCCAUCCCUGCAAAAGUCUUCUCGUUCUCGUAAAUACCGAAUCUGGCCUCGUGACUGUCGAGAACCUGAAGCAUGAUUAAAGUGCCACCUGCGACAUGUAUUAAAUCUUCCGGAAGCAGCACGUUGAGGCUGCUAGGCGGACUUUUUGAGGCAAAAAUCGUAGCAUCAAACAAACCAGUAGAUCAGGGUGGCCACCUCGGGAAAAAACCGGGAAAACCGGGAAAAAACCGGGAUUUUUAUCCACCGGGAGAAAACCG